GAUAAACGCUGGCGGCGUGCAUAACACAUGCAAGUCGAACGAUGAACCUUAUUAGAUUUCUUCGGAAUGAAAAUAAGUGGAUUAGUGGCGAACGGGUGAGUAACACGUGAGUAACCUGCCUUACACAAGGGGAUAGCCUUUGGAAACGAAGAAUAAUACCCUAUAACGUCAAAAUAUCGCAUGAUAAAGUGACCAAAGAUUUAUCGGUGUAAGAUGGACUUGCGUCUGAUUAGCUAGUUGGUGAGAUAAAAGCCCACCAAGGCGACGAUCAGUAGCCGGCUUGAGAGAGUGUACGGCCACAUUGGGACUGAGACACGGCCCAAACUCCUACGGGAGGCAGCAGUGGGGAAUUUUGCACAAUGGGGGAAACCCUGAUGCAGCGACGCCGCGUGAUUUAGAAGGCCUUCGGGUUGUAAAAAUCUUUUUUAUGGGAUGAAAAUGACAGUACCAUAAGAAUAAGGUCCGGCUAAAUACGUGCCAGCAGCCGCGGUAAUACGUAUGGACCGAGCGUUGUCCGGAAUCAUUGGGCGUAAAGGGUACGUAGGCGGCCUAGUAAGUUAGAAGUGAAAUAAUAUAGCUCAACUAUAUAAAGCUUUUAAAACUGUUAGGCUUGAGAGAUGAAAGGGAAAGUGGAAUUCCUAGUGUAGCGGUGAAAUGCGCAGAUAUUAGGAAGAAUACCGGUGGCGAAAGCGACUUUCUGGUCAUCAUCUGACGCUGAGGUACGAAAGCGUGGGUAGCAAACAGG
rnacentral:rRNA from 1 species